AGGCCGACUUACGACGAGCUGACUUCAUAUUUAGACGACGUGCCAUGGAAGAUGCAUACAUGGCAUUGAAGUUUAUAAGAAACAUUCAUGACAUGAUGGCAAACAAAUUUUACCAAUUUCCUUCAAAUGAAAGGUCUUUCUCUCUCAAAGAUAAAAUGGGAUUCAUUACACUCAAAAAGAAUGGGAAAGCUCUUGAUCUAUUUGCAGAUGAGGUCACAACAGACCGUAUGCAAGCCAUUCAGG